rnacentral:rRNA from 1 species
AGUAAGACCCCUUGAAGAACACAAGGUUGAUAGGUCAGAGGUGUAAGUGCGGUAACGUAUUUAGCUGACUGAUACUAAUAGGUCGAGGGCUUGACCAA